AUACGGAGGAUGCAAGCGUUAUCCGGAUUUAUUGGGUUUAAAGGGUGCGUAGGCGGUUUGCUAAGCGGGAGGUGAAAUGCCGGCGCUCAACGUCGGAAGUGCCUCCCGAACUGGUGGACUUGAAUGACUCUGCCGUGGGAGGAAUGUGUAGUGUAGCGGUGAAAUGCUUAGAGAUUACACAGAACACCGAUUGCGAAGGCAUCUCACGAAGGGUUGAUUGACGCUGAGGCACGAAAGCGUGGGGAUCAAACAGGAUUAGAUACCCUGGUAGUCCACGCAGUAAACGAUGAUGGCUAACCGCUGGUUUAUUCGGAUCAGUGGCCAAGCGAAAGCGAUAAGCCAUCCACCUGGGGAGUACGACCGCAAGGUUGAAACUCAAAUGAAUUGGCGGGG
rnacentral:rRNA from 1 species